GGCUUACAACCUGUGGAUUGAUUCAUCCUUGUUGCCUUUAUCUCUUGCCAGUUCCAGGCCCAAUCCUCUUGGUUCAGCAGUGAGCUCAAAACCAGGGAGCUGAAACUGUUGACCACACCUGCCAGCAAAGGGCAAGAGCAGAAAGCUGCAAUGCUCAUUGUGAGUUAUGGCAUCAUUCACCCCAACCUGGUGUGCUGAAACCAACAACAGUGGGAUGGAGACCCUGCACACCAGAUUCAACGAGAGGUCCCCACAACGGCGGAAAUGCUGUUUUGGUCUCAAUUUCUAUUUUCAUCUUUCUCCAUUACGUUAUCUGAAGAGCAACAAGAACAGAUGGAUGCUUCCUUAACACCUGCUGCUGUGGGAGUCUUCUGAAACACUUGCAAUUUGAGGCUCACAUCAAAGUCAUGUCCCUGUGUUGACAUGAGAAGUCAAUACUUACAACAUUGGGGAAAACAGAAGAUGAAACCAUGAAUGAAUGUGCACUGUUGGCUGCUCAGCUAAGGCUGUUUAUAUGAAGAAGUGGCUUGCACAGAGGUGAGAGACUGGGAAGCAGUUGUUUUCUGAAAUAUAGCUUUUGGCUUAAAGAAUAUGUGUUCUGCUAAUUACUCCAAGAUCAAGUAUAAUUGAGGAGAUGUACAACUAUGGUAGUUUGGUCUAGACCUUCCCUGGUGACCAGUUUGUAACCAAGGAAGGGUCCAGAUUUACCCAGUAUUCCCUACGAUUUUUACGUAAGCCAGGCUAUAAGAAGAAAGGAGGAAAGGCCUUUGCUCUCUUUCCUUCCGGCGGCUUUGGAGGUGCAGGUUCCCUGCUGUUGGGUCCGCCAUGUUGGGGAGCGAGGCCUGGUUGGGCCUUGUCGACCUUGGGAGACAGAGGUUGCCGGCAAUCGUUCCGGAGCGACUCUCAGUUGUCCCAGGGGAGUAGUGAGAUAUUUCUUUGCUAACUCUCUUAGUUGCUAGAUAUUGGGCUAUUGAUCGGGAGAUAUAUAUAUAUAUUUUAUUUUGGUUUUGUUCCUUUUCCCUUCCCCCUUCCCUUUCCCUUGUGAAAUUGUAUAUAUAUUUCAAUUGUAUAUAACUGUAACAUAAGUGUAAAUAUAUUUAUA
rnacentral:lncRNA from 1 species